UACGUAGGGACCAAGCGUUGUUCGGAUUUACUGGGCGUAAAGGGCGCGUAGGCGGCUUGACAAGUCACUUGUGAAAUCUCCGGGCUCAACUCAGAACGGCCAAGUGAAACUGUCAUGCUAGAGUGCAGAAGGGGCAAUCGGAAUUCUUGGUGUAGCGGUGAAAUGCGUAGAUAUCAAGAGGAACACCUGAGGUGAAGACGGGUUGCUGGGCUGACACUGACGCUGAGGCGCGAAAGCCAGGGGAGCAAACGGG
rnacentral:rRNA from 1 species